UAGGGAAUAUUGGGCAAUGGGCGCAAGCCUGACCCAGCCAUGCCGCGUGCAGGAAGAAGGCCCUCUGGGUUGUAAACUGCUUUUGACGGGGAAGAAACGACUCUUGCGAGAGGCAUUGACGGUACCCGCAGAAUAAGCACCGGCUAACUCCGUGCCAGCAGCCGCGGUAAUACGGAGGGUGCGAGCGUUGUCCGGAUUUAUUGGGUUUAAAGGGUGCGUAGGCGGUCUGGUAAGUCGGCGAUGAAAGCCCGGGGCUCAACCCCGGAACUGUCGUCGAUACUGUCGGACUUGAGUACGGUUGAGGCUGGCGGAAUGGGCGGUGUAGCGGUGAAAUGCAUAGAUACCGUCCAG
rnacentral:rRNA from 1 species